AUUGAACGCUGGCGGCAUGCUUUACACAUGCAAGUCGAACGGUAACAGGCCUUCGGGUGCUGACGAGUGGCGCACGGGUGAGUAAUGCAUCGGAACGUGCCCAGAGGUGGGGGAUAACGCAGCGAAAGCUGUGCUAAUACCGCAUGUGAUCUGAGGAUGAAAGCGGGGGACCAGGCAGCAAUGUUUGGCCUCGCGCCUUUGGAGCGGCCGAUGUCAGGUUAGGUAGUUGGUGGGGUAAAGGCCUACCAAGCCGACGAUCUGUAGCUGGUCUGAGAGGACGACCAGCCACACUGGGACUGAGACACGGACCAGACUCCUACGGGAGGCAGCAGUGGGGAAUUUUGGACAAUGGGCGCAAGCCUGAUCCAGCAAUGACGCGUGCGGGAAGAAGGCCUUCGGGUUGUAAACCGCUUUUGUACGGAACGAAAAGGCUCUGGCUAAUACCUGGGGCUGAUGACGGUACCGUAAGAAUAAGCACCGGCUAACUACGUG
rnacentral:rRNA from 1 species